rnacentral:rRNA from 1 species
UACGUAGGGCGCAAGCGUUUGUCCGGAAUUAUUGGGCGUAAAGAGCUCAUAGGCGGUUUGUCGCGUCUGCUGUGAAAACCUAAGGCUCAACCUUGGGCUUGCAGUGGGUACGGGCAGACUAGAGUGCGGUAGGGGUGACUGGAAUUCCUGGUGUAGCGGUGGAAUGCGCAGAUAUCAGGAGGAACACCGAUGGCGAAGGCAGGUCACUGGGCCGCAACUGACGCUGAGGAGCGAAAGCAUGGGGGAGCGAACAGG